CUCUGUCUGCAACAACACCAUUGGAGACUACAACUGUACAUGCUUGAGUGGAUAUAACUUGACUGAUCCAAGUGUGCGGAGUAGUGCUGACAAUCCAUGUACAGAUAUUAACGAAUGCGUUGUGAUUCUAAACCUUUGUGGCCAACACUCAAACUGUGCCAAUACCAAUGGAACUUACAACUGUUCUUGCUUGACUGGAUAUCAAGUGGCCAAUCCAAACCAAUCCAUAAGUUAUAGCAAUCAGUGCACAGAUGUGGAUGAAUGCCUUCAGACACCAUCAGUCUGUGGUCCAAACUCAGUCUGCAACAACACCAUUGGAGACUACAACUGUACAUGCUUGAGUGGAUAUAAUGUGACUGAUCCAAGUGUGCGAAGUAGUGCUAACAAUUCCUGCACUGAUACAAAUGAAUGUGAUGACAUACCAAACAUAUGUGGAUCCAACUCACACUGCACCAACACCAAUGGAAGCUUCAACUGUUCCUGCCUGAGUGGAUAUCGGGAAACCAG